AGUCAAUAGAUACCCCGGUAGUCCACGCCGUAAACGAUGAGUACUAGGUGUAGGAGGUAUCGACUCCUUCUGUGCCGCAGUUAAACACAAUAAGUACUCCGCCUGGGAAGUACGGUCGCAAGAUUAAAACUCAAAGGAAUUAGACGGGGGUCCCGCACAAGCAAGCGGAGCAUGUGGUUUAAUUCGAAGCAACGCGAAGAACCUUACCUAGACUUGACAUCUCCUGAAUAGUGUAGAGAUACAUUGAAGCCCUUCGGGGCAGGAAGACAGGUGGUGCAUGGUUGUCGUCAGCUCGUGUCGUGAGAUGUUGGGUUAAAGUCCCGCGACGAGCGCAACCCUUAUUACUAGUUGCUACCAUUAAGUUGAGCACUCUAGUGAGACUGCCC
rnacentral:rRNA from 1 species